rnacentral:rRNA from 1 species
UACGUAGGCAGCAAGCGUUGUUCGGAGUUACUGGGCGUAAAGGGUGUGUCGGCGGUUCUUUCAGUUUGGUGUGAAAUCUCCCGGCUCAACUGGGAGGGUGCGCCGAAUACUGAGGGACUAGAGUACGGGAGAGGAAAGUGGAAUUCCUGGUGUAGCGGUGAAAUGCGUAGAUAUCAGGAGGAACACCGGUGGUGUAGACGGCUUUCUGGACCGUAACUGACGCUGAGACACGAAAGCGUGGGUAGCAAACAGG